GCGCUCGAGUUUCCGGUGUGUCUGGACACUGGCGUUUGUUUUCUGUUAUUCAUCAGAGCGUCAGUUCAGCGCGAAUUCAACACACACACUAUAAGAUGGACAUGUAAGUUUACAAAGCGCUGCCUUACGACGAGCUCCUCAGAUCAUGGCGGUCCCCAUGGAAAGUCAGCUGCAGAGUAUUUUUGAGGAUGUAGUGAAAACUGAGGUGAUAGAAGAGGCGUUUGCUGGCAUGUUCAUGGACAGUGCGGAGGAUGAGAGGAAUAAACUCCUGAGCUGUUUAGGAGCCUUCAGACAGUACUGGAUCAGCCUGCCCCAGGAGUCACAUGAUCAGUGUGUGCAGUGGAUUGUCCGCUUCAUUCAUGGUCAGCACAGCCCCAAACGCAUCGCCUUCCUCUACGACUGUUUGGCCAUGGCGGUGGAGACCAGCCUCCUGCCUCCCAGUCUGAUCCCAGUGAAGCUGAUGCAGGAGUGGAUGGAGCUGUUUUUCAGUGGUAAGCCGCUGUAUGAAGUGGCCAGUGUGCUGCCCACCUACUGACCCCACACCAGAACAGAUCAUUGAGCUGGAGAAGCUUCAAAUACUCAAUAAUCAAGACUACAACGAGUAUGUGGCCAUGAUUGGUGAGUGGAUUUUGGGAUGAAGAAGGCGAGAGUCGAGCCUCACCAGUGAAGAAUGAUAUUCUGGAUCAUGUGUUGAGUCGUCUACAGAGCAUGAUAGACCGUCCCAGUGCCAGCAGUCCUCGUCCUCUGUUUCCCCGUUUCACCAUCAGAGCGUGCAUGCUGGAAAACCCUCUCGGGAAAAACCUCCUGCCUCUCCAGGAUCAGCAACGGUCUUGGGUUCCAUGUGCUCUCAGCCAACGCUUUGAUCCAGGAUGCUCUAUCAGAAUAUCAGAGGGAAAAACAAGUUGCGAUCGAAAGCCAAAAAGCGUCACAGAAUAACCUGGAAAGAAAUGGUUCUCCGACAGAAGGAGUUGAGCAGCCUGAGAGAGAUGAAGAGAAGGAGACAUCCUCUCCUCCAGAGUCAGGACCGCAGAAGGCAUCCGGACUUCAGGAAAAAGAAGAUAAAGAAAAGUGGUCGUUGCGAGCGCAGUGUGGUGCAGCGGUAGAGAACGCUCUUAGGACGGGAAACGCUGUUCCUGAUCAACUUCUGGUCGACAUCAUAGUGGAUGCUAUCAGGAACAUCCCUGCUGAUAGUGGCUGGAUUCUUGACGGGUUCCCAGUGGACAUCAGUCAGGCUCAGAUGCUGGAGAAAGCUCUGAACGGGACAGAACCUGAUGAGACCGAGACAAAAACACAAAGCAGCUUAUCCACAGAUAAAAACACUCCUAAAGAUCCGAGUCCUCCCUCCCCUGCACUGGACGUAGUGGUGAUGUUAGACGUGUCAGAUGAGCAGGUUCUGCAGCGAGCCGUGAGCCAGGACGUAGACGGGGAGAGCAGAGGGCAGGAGAGAGAAAGCAGUGAUGGUCUAGACGAAAAAACAAGUAUGACAGAUAUGGACACACAAGAUCCAGCAUCCGUAUCUGAUGACAAAAGCCUGGGGACGAAACGGAUGCAGCACAGAAUUAGUGGGUUCCAUGACACAUGGCCAAAACUGGAGAAAUGGUUUGGUGAUCAGCAGAAUAUUCUUGUAAAAAUCACAGCAGAUGUAGAUGAGGAAACUCUCUUCAAAAACGUGGAGAAUGUUCUGAUGGACACUAUGGAUUCUGUUGAAAAAGAAGCAGCUCUGGUUCACUCCAGGAAAAUGUCUUCCUCACCCGAACACAGGCGUCCAGAAAGUGCCUGCUCUGGGAAGUCUUCACCAGUGACCCCAAAAUCUGCUGGAAGGGUCUAUGUGGAGGAACCCUUACCCAAGGAGAUUCCAGAGUAUCUUGUUCCGUACUGGGAGAACGUCUGUGUUUCAUAUGUGACUAACGUCAAAACAGUGAUGCAGAACCUCCGCGGUGAACGCGAGCUCAUCAUUCACCACCUCUACAACACCCGGGAGAACUUCAGGCAGUACCUACAGAAGCCAGAUCUGAAGCAGGAGUUUGUAAGCGCAUGGCAGCGCGAUUAUAACGGCGUUCCUGACAACAUCAGAGAGGAUGAAGAGACCAAAGGAGAGCUUCAUCAAAGACUGGAUGACUUGCGUGAGCGUCUGUGGGACAUCUGUGAUAAACGCAAGGAAGAGGCAGAGCAGGAGAGAGCAGGAGUCAUUGAUGACGGCUGGUUAGAUGAUCACACUGCUGUACUAAUCAACCAAUAUUCUGCAUUAAUGCAGAUAGAAGUGGGCCGCUUUCAAGACUCCCUGUGUCUGCUGAGAGAUUAUUAUUCAGCAAUGUGUAAAACUGCGUUUCCUGAAUCCACACGUGGCUUCACUCGCGUCCCAUUGCUUGACAUCACUGCAGAGGAGCAUGUUGAGCAAGAGGAGUCAAAAGUCGCUGGCCCUGCACUGUUAGAAAAACCUGUAAAGAGUGCUGAAGAAAAAGACUGUGAAAUGGAGGACAAGAAGAAAAUUAAAUCGUUUCCGCUGGUUUCCUGCAGAUCUCCCACUUCUGAGGAUCUCCACCAUCCCGAUGAGAAACUCCUGCAGGAGUUCUUCCAGAAUGCACUCACCGCAGUCAUUAGCAUGGUGUUGGCAGAGACGCAGCGAGAAGAGGAAGGUGAUGAAGAACAGAAGCCCAUAGAGACACCACAGACUUCAAACUCUGCUACGGACCGUAAGAAAGCAGGGAAAAAGAAAGGUGCUCCCACCCCUCCUCAGGUGCCCAGUCCUCUGCCCACAGUGGUGCAGAACCCUGAGGAGGUCAAGAGGAAGGCAGAGAGGAAAAGAAUCAAACUGGAGUUCACAUCCGCACUGAAACGUGAAGAACAUGCGGUGAAGCUGCGUUUGGAUCUGGUGAAGGCUCAUGCGCUGAGAAACGUGAGCAGUCUUCAGCUGAGAGCGGAGCAGGUCUACAGGAACAUGGAGGAGUGGCUGGGAGCUCGCUUUCUGUCUGAGAUCAACAGUAUCGACCAGCUGACAGAGUUUGUGCGGAAGCACAUUGAGAAUGCAGUUCAGAUCCAUCAUGAGCUCGUGCUGCAGAGCGCUGAUUUCUGCGUGGAUGGAGACACACGUGUGGUGGCGAGUCCAGCAUCCGUCCCGCGCCGAUCGCUGCUGGAACAGCCCAGAAACAGCACUCUCACAGUCCAACAGCUGCACGUCCUCUGUGCUCAGCUGAGCAAGAGCGCCCCGACUGGUCUGCUGUGCAGUAAUGAGUUGACUGAAAUUCUGCAUGAAUUAAGCUCUCCUCAUAUGGGUAGUGAUGUCCUGCCUGAGCCCUGGAUGCAUAUCACUCCCUCACAGGUAGAUGAGCUGGUGUGUGUAUUAGCUCCGGACUCUGAGAUGUUGGACUGGCGUCAGUUCCUGCUCAGCGCUGCUCUGCCGUGGCCGUUUCCCUCUCAGAUCGAGCUGUUAAAAACCCUCCAGCGCUUCAGAGCCGUCGACACUGCGGGAACUGGACUCAUCACACAAGAACAAUACACACAGGUUGAAUUGUGGUUUUCCAGUGAAAGAGAACUUCCUGUCCCGGAUGACCCAACUGAACCUCUGCCCUACGACAGACUAGCCAACCUUAAGAAGUUUUUCUUCUGUCUGUUUGCGAGCUCACACUCAUCUCCACUGAUGCUGGACUAUCUGAACAUGCUGCUGUAUUUCUGCUGUCAUCCUGAACCGGCUCAGGGCUUCACCAGAGCGCUGGGCCUCGUGAUCGGACACACACUGCACUAUAAACACACCGGCCCACUUACACAGUCUGUGCCGUAUUUGGAGGGCGCUGGAGUCGAGGCUGAUGAAGAGGAGGAGAGAGGGGAGGAGUCUGAUGAAGUGGGCGUGUCCGUUGAUGAUGUGCUCAGAGUUCUGAGUCGUGGAGAUGAUCACGUUUCUUCAUAUCUGAACCGAUUCCAGCCGAACCGCAGGAGCAGAGAUGAAUUCAGAGAGGAGCUGCUGAAGGUGUUUAAGGAGUUGGGUUUUAAGGGUGAGGAGAAGAUUUCUUUCUCCACACUUUCCCAGCAUCCCUUUAUGCAGGAUCUAAUAGAAGGAUCCUCACAGUACCUGCUUCCUGACAUUCACAGAAUUUUCCAGACCCAGCAAACUGAAGAUCCUCGAAGCUUCUCAACAUGAUCAACACUCAAUAACAACACACACAAGCAAGGUACAUGCUAAUGCUAAAUUCAUCAUGAAAGCAUGAAGAACAGUGAUCUGCUGAAAUUCCCCUUUAAUAAACUCUAAAUGUUUCUAAAUGUAUUUACUGUAGUGGAGAUACACAUUUGAUUGUAGCUGUGUAUUCUUGUCUCAUAUUACAGUGAAUAAUUUGAUGUAUUUGUGUGAUUCAGAGAUGAGUGAUGUGGAAGCUUGCCUUGAAAAAUAUUCAGAUAAAUCAAUGUAAAAUCAGCAUAAAACCUCAACAAAAUGUAAAGUAAAAACAUUAUCCAAAACAAUAGAUAUAAAGAAGAAUACAUGAGUGAAAGAUUUGUUAAAUGAAUAUGUUAAUGAAAGCAUAUGAAUACACAAGUAUGUAUGAAUAACAAUGUAAAGAAAAUACAAUACAGAAUGAACAAUAAAAAUAAAAACUGUAUCUUUAGUCUCUGCCGAAUGAAUAAUGUUCACUGCUCUGCUGUCUUUGCACAAAUCAGAUGCAUGACUUUACAUUUGUCAAAAAUAAUGGUGUAAUCUUAUUUUUUUUUUUUAAAUUGAAACUCUAUAAUGACAGUGAAAAAAACAUAUAUUUUAGGUCUCUCAAAAUGAAAGACUUUGUAGA